UAGGGAAUAUUGCUUAGUGGGCGAAAGCCUGAAGCAGCAACGCCGCGUGCACGAUGAAGGUCUUCGGAUCGUAAAGUGCUUUUUUAGAGGAUGAGGAAGGACAGUACUCUAAGAAUAAGCCUCGGCUAACUACGUGCCAGCAGCCGCGGUAAAACGUAGGAGGCGAGCGUUAUCCGGAUUUACUGGGCGUAAAGCGUGUGCAGGUGGUUUGGUAAGUUGGAUGUGAAAGCUCCUGGCUUAACUGGGAGAGGUCGUUCAAUACUGCCAGACUCGAGAGUGAGAGAGGGAGGUGGAAUUCCGGGUGUAGUGGUGAAAUGCGUAGAUAUCCGGAGGAACACCAGUGGCGAAAGCGGCCUCCUGGCUCAUUUCUGACACUCAUACACGAAAGCUAGGGUAGCAAACGG
rnacentral:rRNA from 1 species